GACAGAGGGUGCAAACGUUGUUCGGAAUUACUGGGCGUAAAGCGCGUGUAGGCUGCCCCGCAAGUCGGAUGUGAAAGCCCUGGGCUCAACCUAGGAAGUGCAUUCGAAACUGCGGGGCUGGAGUCCUGGAGAGGAAGGCGGAAUUCUCGGUGUAGCAGUGAAAUGCGUAGAUCUCGAGAGGAACACCAGUGGCGAAGGCGGGUCUCUGGACAACACCUGACGCUGAGGCACGAAAGCCAGGGGAGCAAACGGG
rnacentral:rRNA from 1 species